GUGCAGUUAUUGUGGAAGUGGUGAUGUGUUGGCAGGUUUUGUAUUUUUUGUCCUGGCACGGUCUGGAUCCACUCGGUGUGUUUUAGGUCAUAGGAAAUUUGCUUCUGGUGAUAAGGAAGAAUGGGAGGAA